rnacentral:lncRNA from 1 species
GGGAAUUAAACUGUUGUCUUUGUGGUGUUCAAUGUUGGCCCUAGCUGUUCCAUAUUUUGGAUCUCUCUUGUUCAACUAUUCAAAACCAAUGAUUGUUUGCGAUGUUCUUUGUUUCUUGGUUUAUUUCUUUUCUGUUUUUUUGUCUUAUUUGUUCCUUAGUGACCAAAGGUCACUUAUAGUCCUCUAUGGUUCGUGUAUUAGUAUUGUGUAGUCCGGGCUUAUGUUAUUUUAACUAGUGUGUUUUAUUUUUAAAUCUUUUCUGUUUUUUGCUUUUUCUGAUUAUUUAGCGGACUUGAGUUUUUAUUUUUUACUCUGUGCUAUUCUUUGUCUUUUCACUCUCUGGAUUUCUGAAAAUGUUGCUAAUGAGGGGGUUUUUUCAUUUGUGAUUAUUUUUUUGGUGGAUCUCUCAACCUUUAAUUUGUGGGUCUGUUAAUUUUUCAAGGAGGAUCCAUCCUUCUUGAUUCUUGAGUUAAUUUGGUUUCUUGGAAAUUGAAAUCACGUGUAUCUUAGGGGUCUGCUCUUCAUUCUCUUCUAUUUUUCUGUGGAGGCCCUCUCAUUUUUUUGAUAUUUUGUAUCUUGGGUAUUAUUUCUUUCUUUCUUAUCCUUUUUGUGUGUUUUUUUCAUUCAUCCUUCAUACUCAAAGAGUUUUGCGAUUCUUCUCUUGGACACCUUUUUUUGUUCAGUUCUAAAUCAUUUGAAUGUAUAGGGUUUUGUUUUUUAGUUCUGUAGCAAAGCAGGAUGUCCAUUUGAAGGAUUGUGAUUCUAAUAGGGGCUUCUUCUUGUUAUUUUUUUUUUUCCAUUGGGACCUGGCUACUUUUAUUGGUGAUUGUAGAGUAAAUGGUAGUAAUGGUCAAUUACAGUGUUAUUUUCUUAUGAAGGUUAAGUCUGAAGAUAUUUUUGUAGUGGUUCUUGGGGUUCGUUGAAUUAAUUUUUCGGAAUUCUCUGUUGGUUGGUGG